rnacentral:lncRNA from 1 species
GACACCUUCAGUAUGAAUGCUCUGAAUACGAGCUACCUGACGGAUAAAUGCCCCAGGAAAUCAGGGAUACCUCAGGAAAGCCGCGUGGAACUCUCUCUCGGACUAACUCUCAGCCAUGGCUGGUCAGAACUGUCUGUUUGGAGUGUAAUCCCCAACUAAACCUGUUACUACUAUUACUGAGGUAGGAGUCACGGCUGGAAUAUGCAGCAGAAAUAAACCAAAAGGUUAUAGAGGCUUGCUAUAUAUUUCAACAUUUUCCAGGUCUUUUCUUUCUGAUUGAGCACCAUUUUAAUAUGUAUUAGUUACUACAUGUUAACCAGAAAAGCCUUGGCUUUAUGGGAAGGAAUCAAACCUAUCAUUUACAACUAAAAUAGGUUAAAGGAUCACUAUAGGGUCAGGUACACAAACAUGUAUUCCUGACCCUAUAGUGUCAAAACCACCAUCUAGCACCCCUGGGCCCCUCUAUAAAUAUAGCAAAAUCUUACUGUAUUCAAGCCAGAAGUUGUAGAUCUGCAUGCUGUUUGCCUAAAAAAAAAAAAUCAAGCAGUCUGCUGACAUCAUCAGAAGUGGUAGCCUGAUCCAAUCACAAUGCUUCCCCAUAGGAUUGGCUGAGACUGACAAGGAGGCAGAUCAGGGGCAGAGCCAGCAUGGUUCAGACACAGCCAUGGCCAAUCAGUAUCUUCUCAUGAAUUGAAUCAAUGAAUCUCUAUGAGGAAAGUUCAAUGUCUGCAUGCAGAGGGAGGAGACACUGAAUGUUUGGAUGCAUUUUAGACAGCCAUGACCCAGGAAGGAUCUCUAACAGCCAUCUAAGGAGUGGCCAGUGAAGUUAUCACUAGGCUGUAAUGUAAACACUGCAUUUACUCUGAAAAGACAGUGUUUACAGCAAAAAGCCUGAAGGUAAUGAUUCUCCUCACCUGAACAAAUUCAAUAAGCUGUAGUUGUUCUGGUGACUAUAGUGUCCCUUUAAGUUUCUGUCUAAAACAUUGUUUUGUGUUUUGUUUUUUGUUUCUUCCUGCUGCUCAGGAUGUCGAGAAGCCUCACCUCUGUCCUGGGCCAGAUUAAGAGGAUCACUAUAGAGUCAGGUACACAAACAUGUAUUCCUGACCCCAUAGUGUUAAAACCACCAUCUAGCCCCCCUGGGCCCCUCAUGCCUCCAUAAAUAUAGCAAAAUCUUACUGUAUUCAAGCCUGAAGCUGUAACUCUGCAUGCUGUUUGCCUCAGAAAAACAAGCAGUCUGCUGACAUCAUUAGAAGUGGUAGCCUGAUCCAAUCACAGUGCUUCCCCAUAGGAUUGGCUGAGACUGAAAAAGAGUCAGAUCAGGGGCAGAGCCAGCAUGAUUCAAACACAGCCCUGGCCAAUCAGCAUCUCCUCAUAUAGAUGAAUUUAAUUAAUGAAUCUCUAUGAGGAAUGUUCAGUGUCUGCAUGCAGAGGGAAGAGACACUGAAUGUUUGGAUGCAUUUUAGGCAGCCAUGACCCAGGAAGGAUCUCUAACAGCCAUCUAAGGAGUGGCCAGUGAAGUUAUCACUGGGCUGUAAUGUAAACACUGCAUUUUCUCUGAAAAGACAGUGUUUACAGCAAAAAGCCUGAAGGUAACGAUUCUCCUCACCUGAACAAAUUCAAUAAGCUGUAGUUGUUCUGGUGACUAUAGUGUCCCUUUAAGUUUCUGUCUAUAACAUUGUUUUGUGUUUUGUUUUUUGUUUCUUCCUGCUGCUCAGGAUGUCGAGAAGCCUCACCUCGCUCUGUCCUCCUCCGACUUCCCGGGCUCUCGAGGAUCGUGGAGAACAUCUCCUGCGCUUCCUCAGGCUACUGGCAGCCAUCUUGGAUCACGGCAGCCAUUUUUAGGUUUCUUACAUUACAGGUUAUUGCUGAUAUCGAUUCUGAUUUCAUUAAGAGGGUGAGCCCCUCUCACCUACUCAGCCCUACGCUGAUAUUGGUUCUAACUGCUUGCUUAGAGGUGAACCCCCUCUUGUGAACUCAGCCCGAUGCUGAUAUUGAUGCUAGUUCCUAUUAGAGAGUAAGCCCCUCUCAUAUACUCAGGCCAACACUGAUAUUGAUACUAAUUUCAUUAUUAGAGGGUGCUGUCUAAUUCAGCUUUUACCAUUUAAUAAUAUGUGAGAGAGCAAUUAAAGAUUGUUUACAUGUGCCAUCUGAUUAUUCUUGUUUUCACAUGUGCCAUCUAAUCACUCCCUGUACCCUUGAUCUUGCACUGAUAUUUCCCAGAGAUUCCUAGACACAGACAUUUUACUAAGUAGC